UACGUAGGGUGCUAGCGUUGUCCGGAUUUAUUGGGCGUAAAGAGCGUGUAGGCGGCCAGGUAGGUCUGCUGUGAAAACUCGAGGCUCAACCUCGAGACGUCGGCGGAAACCAUCUGGCUAGAGUCCGGAAGAGGAGAGUGGAAUUCCUGGUGUAGCGGUGAAAUGCGCAGAUAUCAGGAAGAACACCCGUGGCGAAGGCGGGUCUCUGGGCAGUAACUGACGCUGAGGAGCGAAAGCGUGGGGAGCGAACAGG
rnacentral:rRNA from 1 species